rnacentral:rRNA from 1 species
GAUGAACGCUGGCGGCGUGCCUAAUACAUGCAAGUCGAGCGAACAGACGAGGAGCUUGCUCCUCUGACGUUAGCGGCGGACGGGUGAGUAACACGUGGAUAACCUACCUAUAAGACUGGGAUAACUUCGGGAAACCGGAGCUAAUACCGGAUAAUAUAUUGAACCGCAUGGUUCAAUAUUGAAAGACGGUUUUGCUGUCACUUAUAGAUGGAUCCGCGCCGCAUUAGCUAGUUGUUAAGGUAACGGCUUACCAAGGCAACGAUGCGUAGCCGACCUGAGAGGGUGAUCGGCCAAACGGGGACUGAGAAACGGUGAAGAAAAAUAAGGGAGGCAGCAGUAGGGAAGCUACCGCAAGGGACGAAAGCCUGAAGGAGCAACGCGGCGUGAGUGAUGAAGGUCUUCGGAUAGUAAAACACUGUUAUUAGGGAAGAACAAAUGUGUAAGUAACUAUGCACGUCUUGAAGGUACAGAAUCAGAAAGCCACGGCUAACUAAGUG